rnacentral:snoRNA from 1 species
UCUGCCCAUAGAGGUGUUACAGGUGUGGCUGCUGUGUCACAUGUGUAUCAGUAGGUGGCAGAGAGGAGAGAGGCUAUGACUAUGCUCAGUGUUCUGACCUACGAACAUCUGAAUGAUUAGUAGCUUAAUACU